UGGCAGUGGUGGAAAUGUUGAAUUAGGUGAAAGUGGAACUUCAAGAAAUCCAACAUUGGUUAACGAUGAAGAAGGUGUUUCAUUUGGGGUAUAUUUUUGUGAUGAUACUCAAGAUCUUGAUGAAAAAGAUGGUAAUGGUAUUGGUAGUGAUCAUUUCAUUGGAGCUUUUGAUGUUUGA